GACAGAGGGUGCAAACGUUGUUCGGAAUUACUGGGCGUAAAGCGCGUGUAGGCUGUUUCGCAAGUCGGAUGUGAAAGCCCUGGGCUCAACCUAGGAAGUGCACUCGAAACUGCGAAACUGGAGUCCUGGAGAGGAAGGCGGAAUUCUCGGUGUAGAGGUGAAAUUCGUAGAUAUCGAGAGGAACACCGGUGGCGAAGGCGGCCUUCUGGACAGUGACUGACGCUGAGACGCGAAAGCGUGGGGAGCAAACAGGGAUUAAGAAACCCCAGUAACGUC
rnacentral:rRNA from 1 species